UCAAAGAAUGGGGUUAAUAGUAGUUUAGAUACAGCUGAAAAGAGAAUUAGUGAACUAGAAGUUAGGUCUUAAGAAACUAUCCAUCGAGAAGGCCCACAGCGGGUGUUGACGCGAUGUGAUUUCUGCCCAGUGCUCUGAAUAUCUAAGUGAAGAAAUUCAAUGAAGUGCGGGUAAACGGUGGGAGUAACUAUGACUCUCUUAAGGUAGCCAAAUGCCUCGUCAUCUAAUUAGCGACACGCAUGAAUGGAUAAACGAGAUUCCCACUGUCCCUACCUACUAUCCAGCGAAACCACAGUCAAGGGAACGGGCUUGG
rnacentral:ncRNA from 1 species